rnacentral:lncRNA from 1 species
GAGACAUUGCAGGGAAUUCAGAUCAUCACCUUCAGGAGCAGUUAUGGUUGCUAAUUGGAAGAUUUUGUUGCACCAUCAAUCAUAACAUACUGCUAGAAAAAUUGCGUGCUUUUGGAUUACAUCCUGGAUUCCUUGGGAGUGUUCAGCACAGCUGUGCAACAAGAAAUGUGUGUACAGGUGAUAUAAAACUUUAUAAGCAUUCAGAAAGAAAAGUGCUGUCUUGAACAGUAUUUAUGUUCAAGUAGCAUUGGACAUAUAUGAUUGCAAUUUUCACAUCAAGGCAUUUGUUGAAGAUGUUCUCCUCACCUCACACUGAGAUGAAACUUAGAACGGUGCUGCCCAAGACUGUGGAGUAAAGAUCAACUCAUACAGGUCAACAUGCUUGGAAAGAAAGAAAAAGAGAAAGCAAGGAAAGGAAUUGAAGGCUUCUGGUGAUAUUUCUAAUCCUUCUCACAGAGGAUCUGAUCAAUUUAAAUGAUUGCAUAAGACAAACUAAUUCUGUUAGUAGUGCAGACCU